rnacentral:rRNA from 1 species
GACGAACGCUGGCGGCGUGCUUAACACAUGCAAGUCGAACGGUGAUGCUCCAGCUUGCUGGCGUGGAUCAGUGGCGAACGGGUGAGUAACACGUGAGCAACCUGCCCCAGACUCUGGAAUAAGCGCUGGAAACGGCGUCUAAUACUGGAUACGAAACUGGCCCGCAUGGGCAUGGUUUGGAAAGUUGUUCGGUUUGGGAUGGGCUCGCGGCCUAUCAGCUUGUUGGUGAGGUAAUGGCUCACCAAGGCGACGACGGGUAGCCGGCCUGAGAGGGCGACCGGCCACACUGGGACUGAGACACGGCCCAGACUCCUACGGGAGGCAGCAGUGGGUAAUAUUGCACAAUGGGCGAAAGCCUGAUGCAGCGACGCCGCGUGAGGGAUGACGGCCUUCGGGUUGUAAACCUCUUUCAGCAGGGAAGAAGCGAAAGUGACGGUACCUGCAGAAGAAGCACCGGCUAACUACGUG